GACGAACGCUGGCGGCGUGCUUAACACAUGCAAGUCGAGCGGAAAGGCCCUUCGGGGUCCUCGAGCGGCGAACGGGUGAGUAACACGUGAGUAACCUGCCCCAGACUUUGGGAUAACCCUCGGAAACGGGGGCUAAUACCGGAUACGACACAGCUUCGCAUGGGGCCUGUGUGGAAAGUUUUUCGGUUUGGGAUGGGCUCGCGGCCUAUCAGCUUGUUGGUGGGGUGAUGGCCUACCAAGGCGACGACGGGUAGCCGGCCUGAGAGGGCGACCGGCCACACUGGGACUGAGACACGGCCCAGACUCCUACGGGAGGCAGCAGUGGGGAAUAUUGCACAAUGGGCGGAAGCCUGAUGCAGCGACGCCGCGUGAGGGAUGACGGCCUUCGGGUUGUAAACCUCUUUCAGCAGGGACGAAGCGUAAGUGACGGUACCUGCAGAAGAAGCGCCGGCCAACUACGUG
rnacentral:rRNA from 1 species